GAGUAGUACAGCCCUUUUAGGAUUUUUCUGGCAGAUUUUCUGGUUUUCUCCAGAAAACAUCCCC